rnacentral:rRNA from 1 species
UACAGAGGGUGCAAGCGUUGUUCGGAUUUAUUGGGCGUAAAGCGAGUGUAGGUGGUUUCGUAAGUCAGAUGUGAAAUCCCUCGGCUUAACCGAGGAAGUGCGUUUGAAACUGCGAGGCUAGAGUGCCGAAGAGGGUGGCGGAAUUCCCAGUGUAGAGGUGAAAUUCGUAGAUAUUGGGAGGAACACCAGAGGCGAAGGCGGCCACCUGGUCGGCUACUGACACUAAGACUCGAAAGCGUGGGUAGCAAACAGG